CCACAACCUAAACACAGAUGUACUUGCUUUGAAACUAAAAAGGGAAGUGCUUCUAUGUUUUAGUGAUGG
rnacentral:pre_miRNA from 1 species